AUCAGGCUAUUGUUCCACUCACAUAAGAAGAGCAGUCCAAGUCAAGGCUCCAUGCUGCCUUCCAUUGCAUCCUCAUCCCUACAGUAUCUGUUUCUAUCUGAUGAUAGAUAGAGGCCAGUUCUGCAGCAGUGAUGAAAACCAGGCCAGCGCCGACCCGGCUAUAAACCGGUGGAUGCACAUCGCUGCCCUGGGAUUGGUGGUGGAAGACGGUUACUGUGGGGACGGCCUGUGUGCAGGGGGCUGAUAAGAGGUAGCCGGUUAAAUCCAGCGGAAUGAAACGAGACCACGGGACAGGUCUGCGUUCGCCAGGGCUCUGACGGUGCGUCACCGAUGUAUCUGAUUAUUUACAUGUCUGUCUGUCUGACUGUCUGACGUGGCACUGGAUCUGAACCGUAGAUGAAUCAAUCGCUACCAUCUCGUUUGCAGCUCAGCGGAGCUCAGCUGGAGCCAAGAGCAUGAUGGAACAGAGGGGGAAAAUAUUGUGCUCUGACGUCAUUGGAAAACAGGGCACACUUUCAACCUUUGGAUGACUGGUUUGUUUUCAACCUUUCUGAGCAGAGAAAACAUCAAAUAUUGGCCUUAGUGGACAAAUGAGUCUGUGUUUGUUCCCUGUCUUGACGGAUGUUCUGAGCUGGGACCAGGAGACCAGUUGAUUAGCUUUGAUAGGGAAAGUGAUUGAUAUAAAGCCGCUUUGAUAAGGCUGAUGACAGUGGUGAUGUUUACCAGCUUACAUCUCCUUUCAGUUUCAGUUUUCAGACAGCUGGCUAGGUGUCAAGCUUUGACAGCAUCUAGGAAAUGCUUUUCAGCUGAGCUACAGAGUGACAGGAGCUAUUGUCUAUAUUAUUGUACUGUAGAUACUCAAUGAAUCACCGUGAAUAAAUACAGUUUCAUUCCAACAGUU